GCUCCUCGGCGGUGUAACACCAGCUGGGGUUCGGGUUGGAACUCUAUUAAUUGCGUUUUUUCGUAUCCACUGAAUGGUGAAGGUAAGCAGGAACCACAGCCUGAAACGGAUUAAUGUGAGGGUUCCGUUACGUUACAUUUAAAUAGGUAGGACUAGGUUAGUAGGGGAAAAGAACCUGAGGAAAAACAGCGGGAGAUACAAACAAAUGAAACGUGUGUAUGAGCGGCCUGAUGGUGUCAGUGUGACGGAGGAGGACAUUAGCUGUUGCAGGAGUGAACUGUUAUGGACUUGGUGAUGCCAGUGGCCUGUACUACGAAGCGGGGUUACUGGCUUAUAGGGGUAACUUGACGUAUUUAAGGUAGUCCGGGCAAAAUGCAAGUGAACGAAUAUGAAGUCCGUUUAAACUGUGCUACCUUAAAUCCGACAAGUUACCCCGAUAAGCCAGUAAGCCCGCUUCGUAGUACAGGCCACAGGUUGAUAUUGGUUUACACAAAAUUACAUGAUUAAAAAUAGGGAUUGAAGUACUGUUAAAGUUCCUCUCAGAAUUUCAUUCUGCACGUAACUAAAUUGUCCUCAGCCUUAAUAUCGAUGGCUGCCCUCGUUUUUGCGCUCAUAACAAAUACUAAGUUUCCACGCUGCUCUACUGUAAGUGCAACUUAGGGGAACUUGAGGUGACUCAAUAACGAUGUGAGAGUGGCUAAUUGGUGGGUUUCAAACACCACGAAGUUUCCCGUUCAACAGGCCCCUUCGAGUCCUUCUUUUCAAACUUCAAACAGCGGAGCCGCCACCCCCCACUAAGUGCAGUGUGUCCACGCGCGUAAUUACAGUGAUCCGCGCGCCUCUUCUCCGUAAUUGCGAGGCUUCGGAGCUUCGGUUUCUAUCUUAAAAAAAUAAAAAAAUAAAAAAAAUUAAAAAAAAAUCCGAAUUUCCCAGAGGAAUCUACCCGAGGGAUUAAUAAAGUUUCUUUCUAUCUUCUUCUUCUUCUUCUUGUGGACGUCCGCGCGCAUCGUGAGAUCCUGAGCCCGCUUGCUCUGCUACAGUACGAGGGGGCGUCGGUCCUGCAUUCCCAGGGACCUGCAGAGACAAACGCAGGCGACAGUACGACCGCGAAUGAAAAUGGCCAGAGGCUGCUUUAUGGUUAUGGUGGCUAUAACUUGAUCGAUGUGUCAGGCAGUGCUAACGAUUUAGAAACAGCAGCAAUGACAACACACUUAAUCCAUCUGUCUUCUUAUCCUGCUCAGGGUUGCAGGCACAAAGCUGGGGUUCAUCUAGAAACCAUGAUUAGCCGAACUGCAUGUCUUUGGGCUGCAGGAGUUAACUAGAGUAAAUGGAAACAGGAAACCUGUGCAACACAGAGUGAAUAUGCAAACCCCACAUAUGCAUAGAGGAGGAAGGAUUUGAGCCCCCCCCAUCCAUAUAGGGGUGAGAACAGAACUAAUGACUGAGCCACUUAUGGAAGAAUAAGUGUGGAAAAAGAGAAGCAGAAAGAUCUUGUUCUGGUCGGUUACUGGAAUGUUAAACACCGUACUUUCCCCUCUGUAUCUUUUGAUAUCUCCACUUCCGGGGAUAUUCCCCGUGCGUUUGGCUGCAUUUUGUGUGGUUUAAAAACGCAGUGCUUACACCCGUUGUGUUAAUAACUGUGAAAGCACAUGCUGUGUGCACUGCAGAUGGACUGUGUCCUCCAGUGGUGCGUUUACACGCGAUGAAUCGUUAACACGCUCCGCGCAGCUCGGGUGAUCGUUAUGCUUUUUUCCUGAUUAUAAAAUCGCAAGGCUGAAAUCAUUGAAGCCAGCUUUCGUGACAAAAGGAACGUGAGGGUCAAGGUGAAGCUUACCGCCAGGAGGGACACCCCCCCAGGAUGUUUCUGGAAUGGAAAGGGGAGGGGGGGGGACAUUAUCUGCUCUCGUCACUGUUAAUUUGGCAGUUAAACAAGAAUUCUGAUUUAACUACACACGCCACAGAUGGCAGAGUAAAAGUUGUAAAAAAAAAAUAUAACGCUUUCCCGAAUGUUUUAUUUUUAUAUCCCUCUGCAUCAGUUGUCGUAUGAACACAAAUAAAAUCUGAAGAAACACCCCGAGGGUCCAGCAUAGCCUUCCUACGUGUUCCCAGGGACCCAGAGUGUAUUCCAUAAUAACACGCAGGAAUUAGUACAGGUUAACCUAUUGGGUGGCAUAUGGGGCAGCCGAGGAUACCGUCUUCCGAGGGGACGCCGAUUUCAGUUUGUCUCAGAUUCGGGGUGGGGGGUGAGGAUUGCCUGGAGCAUACAUGGGCUUUGACCAGGACUGAGUGAUGCUGCGCCAAGCCGUCUUUCCCUUCUGAAAGCAAAUUGAAAGCAGCAGGUAAGCAUCGUGACAUAAUAUCCGAGCAGUUGCCUGAAUACAAAUAGCUCUACUCAAGCAAAGUGAUUAGAUAUUUAUGAAUGGGAUACUGUCAGCUAUACCUUACGCCUGUGAGAUCAGACUUCACAGUGAACCAUCCAUCCAUCCAUCCAUUUUCCAAACCGCUUAUCCUACUGGGUCGCGGGGUCACAGUGAACCAGACUUCAGACAAAUGUGAGCUCAUGCCUUUUUGGAUAAGCGACAUUCAUGAAUGGGUGUCAGAGGGAUUAAAUUUGUAUUUGUUCCAUCAGAGUAAUUUAGGCAACAUUCGGAGCUACUUCACUACCAGGGUAAUGCAACUUCAGUGAAUUGGCCACUGUAAGAGUGAGUCAGUCAGUUUUGAAGUACUGCCUCGUGCCAAUUGCUAUAUAUUUUUCAUAUAUAUUCAUAUUACUUGGCCUAGGGGUGGCUUAGGGGCAUGGUGCUGCAGCGGUUAGCACUGUUGCCUCACACCUCGAGGGCCAGGAUUUGAGUCGAUUUGACUCCCUGUAUCAUUGUCAGGUUUCUCCUGGGGUCUCCAGUGUCCCCCUGCCGUCCAAAUAUUUGCUAAGAUUAACUGGAGUUACCAAACUGCCAGUAGGUAUGUAUGUGUGAGUGAAAGGUGUGUGAAUGUGCCCUGUGAUGGGAUGGCAUCCCGUCCUGGGUUGUUCCCCAUCUUGGCUUCAUAGGCUCCAGACCCCCUGUGACCUUGAAUAGGACAAGUGUUAACAGAGGAUGGAUGGAUUAUAUAGCAUAUAUCAUAUAAAGGAUUACUUGAUUCAUUGUCAAAUUAAUCAUUAGAUUACUCAAUUAUUAAUAUAAUUGAUAGUGACAGCCAUAAACAAUAAUGCAUAUUAUUAUUAUUGUUGUAUUAUUACAAUUGCUGUCAUAGCAGUGAGGGGUGUGUGGGAUUAACUGCUAAUUAUUGCCCUGGUGUCAGUAAUUCAUUUCUCAUGGUAGAGUGCAAUGCUAAUGCUUUGUCCCCUUGCGGUUGUCGCGGGCUGUUCAGUUUACAGGCUCUUCUUGGGCCUUUUGGAGGUUAUUCAUUUGGGAUGUGUAGAGCGGCGCUGAUUAGCCUCGCUAACAUUGAGCUGCUACUCGCUGAUAAGCUCUCGGUUCCGGGGUCGUAUGAAAGAGCCAUUAGUCACCGCGCUGAGGUUUUAUCGGGCCACUUUCCUCGUGUCAUGUCAGUGACAGUGGUUUCGCUACGGGGCUCAGGAAUGCUAUAGAAAUGGGAUCUCUCCUGCUAACAUGUUUUUACACUUUGUAAUAUAAAAAAACCCUUUACAGCUGCAUAUUUUUGAUCACUAAUUAUCCAUGGGUCUCUGCAGUUUAACUGCAUAGAUAAAAGUGAUACUUAUUUUGCUGUUUGAGUACAAGAUGUAGACUCCAUGGCAUUGGGGUGGGGGAGGUCUUAAUUGUUUUUCUGUAUGCCCAGGUCUCUGUCAUUCCUCUGCGGGACGCUUGGCCUUCGUUGUUUUUCUGUAUGCCCAGGUCUCUGUCAUUCCUCUGCGGGACGCUUGGCCUUCGUUGUUUUUCUGUAUGCCCAGGUCUCUGUCAUUCCUCUGCGGGACGCUUGGCCUUCGUUGUUUUUCUGUAUGCCCAGGUCUCUGUCAUUCCUCUGCGGGACGCUUGGCCUUCGUUGUUUUUCUGUAUGCCCAGGUCUCUGUCAUUCCUCUGCGAGACGCUUGGCCUUCGUUGUUUUUCUGUAUGCCCAGGUCUCUGUCAUUCCUCUACGGGACGCUUGGCCUUCAUUGUUUUUCUGUAUGCCCAGGUCUCUGUCAUUCCUCUGCGAGACGCUUGGCCUUCGUUGUUUUUCUGUAUGCCCAGGUCUCUGUCAUUCCUCUGCGGAAGCUCGGCCUUCACUGUUUUCAUGUUUUUUUUCCCAAUUUUCUUAAAUUAGAGAGAGGGGUUGUAAUUUGUGUGCUCUCUGGGAUUUAAACCGACAACGUUUGUGUUGUUGGUACAACGUGCUGCUUGAUAAGCUAUAGAAGCUUGUAUAUAUAUUAAGUGCUGUUU